rnacentral:rRNA from 1 species
AUGGGUAGAAAGCACUACACAAAUCAGAAUGUUCUUGUUGUGGUUGGCUUCAAUCUAACAUUCACCUAUGUGCUAGCUAGGUGGGAAGGAUCAUCCCAUGAUGCUAACAUCCUAACUGACAGCAUCAAUGGAUCUGAUGGCGUCAAUAUCCCUGAUGGCAAGUUCUACCUAGGAGAUGUUGGUUAUGCAUGUCGGUCUGGUGUUCUUUCACACUUCAGGAAAACUGGGUACCAUCUGAAAGAGUUCUCUUUCAAGAACUGUCCUAGGACUCCACAUGAACUAUUAAUCUCAUAUACACUACUCUAUCUAGCCUUCGAGGGACGGGAGGGCAUUUGGAGCUUUGAAAAUAGGUUUAAUAUCCUAGAUCAGAAGCCAUUCCACCCUUACCCUACCCAGGUUAAGCUUGUUCUUGCAUGUUACAUCCUUCAUAACUAGAUCCUACAAUGGGGUUGUGAUGAACUUGUCCCGGAGGAGGAAGAUGUGAUGCCUGAUGAUGUUGUCAGUUACGGCCAUGAUGUGAAUGCAUUUGACAACAAAGUCUGGAAGAAGAAGAAGAAGAAGAAGAAGAAGAAGAAGAAGAAGAAGAAGAAGAAGAAGAAGAAGAAGAAGAAGAAGAAGAAGAAGAAGAAGAAGAAGAAGAAGAAGAAGAAGAAGAAGAAGAAGAAGAAGAAGAAGAAGAAGAAGAAGAAGAAGAAGAAGAAGCAGUCAUUUGUUUCGUAG